rnacentral:rRNA from 1 species
AGAGUUUGAUCCUGGCUCAGGAUGAACGCUGGCGGCGUGCCUAAUACAUGCAAGUCGAACGCUUCACAUAUGUGAAGAGUGGCGAACGGGUGAGUAAUACAUAAGUAACCUGGCCUUUACAGGGGGAUAACUGUUGGAAACGAUAGCUAAGACCGCAUAGGUGUCAUAACCGCAUGGAGAUGAUAUGAAAUAUGCUACGGCAUAGGUAGAGGAUGGACUUAUGGCGCAUUAGCUAGUUGGAGGGGUAACGGCCACCAAGGCGACGAUGCGUAGCCGACCUGAGAGGGUGACCGGCCACACUGGGACUGAGACACGGCCCAGACUCCUACGGGAGGCA